CUUGACUACACCCAGCAGCCUUCCGUCACUGAAUUAAAAAUUCAGGUAGUCCAGUGCCUAAGUGCAGUGAGUUGCUUACAAGUCACCGUGGCGGUCUCAGGUCGAAAGGAUAUUUAUACCCAUAUUCCAUCAGAGCAAAUCUUGACAGCAGAAAUAGCUCCGGAGUCGGUCACGUUCAGUGCAGAUGUACCCUUACAUCUCACCUGUAUGCCAUACCAGUGUCUCCACACUUAUUGGUUAAGAGGACAACCAAUCUAUAUGGCACACGAUGACCUAUGCUUGAUAAACGUUGUCGUCUUUGGUAACAACAUAUCAUUUGGUCGCGAACAGAUUUAAGGACUAAACGAUAAAUCCUCCUUUAUCGAGUCUAAAUAGUCCUAAAGACUUCACCACAACAUAGGAGUUCAUUAGAAGAUGAAACAUUUUGUGAUGAAAAAUAUCAAAAUAAUUUUUAUUAAUUCAUAAUUCAUGUACAAAUAUAAAAAAUAAGCACAACCAUCAACAGGCUGACGAUUGGCUUUGGGACACUAUUCCCAACAGUUCAGCCUUAGGCGUUCUUCGAGUCGAUCACCAUCUCCACAUCUCUGCACUUCUCGGACCAACCUAGGUUAGUUCCAGAACUUCCCUCUUCGCUUUUUCUCUUAUUAUUCUUCUUCCAUUUUUCUUCUGUU
rnacentral:lncRNA from 1 species